UUCAUAUCAAAUCUCCUCUCUCCUAAUUUCACUCCUCUCUUACCAAACCUUCUCUUCUCCUUAGCUUGGCUGUGCUAAUCACUUCCAAUCGUCAUCGUCACCGGUGUUGCUUGGAUCUCCAUCGUCGUGGCUUCUUCCCUGUGGUGGGUCAUUGUCAUAGGUGUUCUCCAGUUGUUUUUUUGUCGUCGCGUGGGCGUUCUCCGGUUGUUUUUCGUCGUUGCAUGGGUGUUCUCCAGUUGGUUUUCGUCGUCGCGUGGGCAUUCUCCGGUUGUUCCGUCGCAUGGGUGUUCUCCGGUUAGCUCGUCGUUCGUCCAGUCGUGGAGGUGGAGGUGGGUCCAGUCGUGGAGAUGGUUGUUCGCCGUUCGUCAUACAAUUUGAUAAAUCUGAAGGACUACUUUCAUGGUUGAGGUCUUCACAGAUCUUUUUAAGGAGAAGAGUCCCUGUAAAGAUUUUCACCAGAGGUUAUUGUACAGGAUCCAAAGAUUAAAGAACAGUUGCCCUGCUUCCACACUUGAUUUUAUUUCAUGGAACUAUAGAUUAUUCCAUACCAUCAGAUGCCAGUAAGAGCUUUGUAGGGGUGCUUGAAAAAGUUGGAGUAAACGUUGGAACAGUUUUAGACAAAGAAAAGACACAUACAGAUUUGUUUGUCCAGGAUACGAUGAGAGGUGGUAAAGAUUAGUUGGUUGAAGAUUUGAUUUUCAUCAUUCAUGAAAAUGAUAGGGAUGCACUUGCUACAGAUGCAAUGGCUCACCAAAGGAGGCAUCUCGUACCAAAGUUAUUGUUGAAGUUAGCACGUAAUGUUAGCCCAUUUUGAUCUGCUAACUUGAUUACUUGGUUGACUAAGCUUGAUUGGUGAGUUUCGGGUGUUAUUUCAUUAAUUUUAUGUUUUGUUUCAAUGAUUAAGUUUCUUGAAAUUUGUUAAUGUUGGAAUGAAAUUAGUUAAAAAAUAUGUACUUGGUUGAUAGUCUUCUUUGGUGUGGUUCAAGUGUAAUCAAAAUCAUUUUCUUUCAAUUAUAUAUAAACUAAUUUGGUCUUACUUGGUUGAUUAAGCUUGAUUGAUGUGAUUCAAGUGUUAUUUCAUUAAUUUUAUGUUUUGUUCCAAUGAUUAAACUUCUUGAAAUUUGUUAAUGUUGGAUUGACGUAGUUGACUAGAGAACAGUUCUUAAAGCUUAUGGAUUGUGGGUUGUUUGAGUAGUUUGCUUGAAAAGGUAAAUUUUUUUUUUUUAUAUUAGCAAAAUUCUUUGAAUGCUUCUAAAGUUUUGGAUUAGAUUUAGUGUUGGAAUGCUACGACUAUCCUGCAGUUAUGGUAGUCAUAGCUUAGUUGUUUAUGACUUCCAUUGAGUGGUUUAUGGUAGUGAAACUUCUUAGGCAUCCUUUGGUAGUUUAUAUUUAUGCAUUAUUUGUCUAAAUGCCGGUUGCACUAUGGUAAUUUGUGGGUUAUUCAUGCAUUGUGGGUUAGGUUAAUUCUUCAUUAUUCAAGAUAGGAAGAUUGCAUUGGACAUGUUUUAAAACUGCUAAGGAGGUAAAAAUCUUGCUUGGGUUCAUAAAGUUUGUUUAUUUUCAUUAAGUUGUUUGAGUUUAUAAGCUUAUGAAUUCAUGGUGGUCAUCCAACUUUGCCUUCUUUCGAUGAUCUGUAUCAUAAGCAACAAUUUUCUUUCUUUAUUAAUUUAUUUUUCAAAUGCUUUGCUCUUCUUAACAAAAUAGUUUAUAUUCAUUCCAUUGGAUAGGACCAUUUGCUUUUCUGCUUGAAUGUCCCUUUGUUAAGAGUGUGUGCUUGUGAUAUGACAUGUUUUUGGAUGUUUUGCUUGUUAAUUGAUUCUUGAAUGUCCCUUUUAUUCAUUAUUAGCUUUUCUUGAAAUAUUUAUAGAAAGAGUCUAACUCUAAGGAUACGGUUUAUUGUGAUAUUUGUUUGGAUUGAUGGAAUUUUGAACUUUGUUGAAUUUUUAUUUUUUGGCUUUUUUUUUUCAUUGAUAGGAACCGAGUCCAUGAAUCUGGAGGUAUAAGAUCGAAUGCCCAUGUGACAACUUUUGAGAUUUGAAGUCAAGUGCAACAAAGGAGUAAAGAUUUGGUAUCACAACCUCUUUAUGCUUUUUCUUGGGGAACUCUAGAUCCAACAUAUUCACUACAAGAAUUUUGUCUUGAAUAUACCACUUAUGCACAUUCUCAAUAAACACGUGGUCAGACAAAGAUGCCUAUAAUCAGACACUACUGAAGCUGGAGGGUCUGUUCAAGAAGAAUUAUGAAGGGAUCCAUACUUACCAAGUGGAGAGAGACAGUAAACUUAUAAUGUUUGUAUUACUUGUAAUUUGUGUUUUCAAGGCCUGAAUUAUUGUAUGACCUUUUA